UUGAGACAGGGUCUCGCUCUGUUGCCCAGGCUGGAGUGCAGGGGCAUGAUCCCAGCUCACUGCAACCUCCACCUCUUGGAUUCAAGUGAUUCUCCCGUCUCAGCCUCCCGAGUAACAGGAACCACAGGUGUGUGCCAGCACGCCUGGCUAAUUUUUUUUUUUUUUUUCUUGAGGUGGAGUUUCACUGUUGUUGCCCAGGUUGGAGUGCAGUGGCACAAUCUCAGCUCACUGCAACCUCUGCCUCCUGGGUUCAAGUGAUUCUCCUGCUUCAGCCUCACGAGUUGUUGGGAUUACAGGCGCCCGCCACCACGCCCAGGUAAUUUUUGUUUAGUAGAGACGGGGUUUCACCAUGUUGGCCUGGCUGGUCUCGAACUCCUGACCUCAGGUGAUCCACCCACCUCGGCCUCCCAAAGUUGUGGGAUUGCAGGCGUGAGCCACUGCGCCUGGCCUAAUUUUUCAAUUUUUUGGUGGAGAUAGGGUUUCACCAUGUUGGCCAGGCUGGAGUUUUGCCUGUUCUAGAAGCUUGUAUCAGUCAUACAACACCCCUUUGAGGAACCGUUUGAGGUGUGGCACGAUACAGCAAGUCAGCUGCCAAAGAGGGGCUUAGCCACAGGAACAUCUCCCGUGUCCCUCACAGCAGUUCUAUGAGGCUGGCUGCCCUGUUUGACAACUGAGGCCCGCAUCUUCCCCGGAAUCACCGACGUGUGGCUCUGAGCCCUGUCCCAGGGAUUUUCUCCAUCAGAGAAGAGGAGCACUUUGAGCUUUGAGAGGAGCAGCCCUCUGCAAGUGAAGUGGAAAAAAAGGAAGCAGGCGAGGAGGCCCAUCCAGACCCUCCCCCAAGACCCUUGCUGAAAUGGCUGGGAUGCGGCGUGCAGAAGCUCUCCUUUCCUUCACAGCCCCUGGCUUUCCAAGAGUCCCUGCCCACCCAGAUGCCCGCUGGCAGAUGCAGCCUCAUCUCAAGGACACUGCUUGCUGGAUAAAUCCCUCACCACCCUAGAGACAGCCCACGGUCCUGAGACAAGGAUGCGGGCCAGGCUUGUUGCACGUAAGCGCCUCCCGCAGAAACCAGUGAGGCCGGAGUUCCAGAGGAAAUGAUGUAGGGACAGAGGCAGAGGGCCUCCAGGAGGCACCAGCCCCAGAGUCUUCCCUAGAAUCAGACUUUAAGCACAAGCAGGGAGGGAAAGCACUUGAGCAGUGCCCGUCCCUGCAUACCUGGCCUCUGCUGGAACCCAUGCAGGGACAGGACACUUCUUUAUCAGCAAUCCUGUUCCUCUCCUGGGCAGCUUCAACCUGAACAUCCUCCUUCACCUUGAGCUAAAAUGGGUUUCUUGUCACCCUUGCCCAUCAAACCUGGCCUUGCCCUCAGGAACCACACAGGACAAGCCUAAUACUUCCUUCUUGUGGCAACACUUUAGCAAUUGAGACCUGGCUGUCAGGUCCUCCAAAUAAACAUUUGUGACUGUGAUGUU
rnacentral:lncRNA from 1 species